rnacentral:rRNA from 1 species
CCUACGGGAGGCAGCAGUGAGGAAUAUUGGUCAAUGGCCGGAAGGCUGAACCAGCCAUGCCGCGUGAAGGGCAGGGCCCUAUGGGCGUUAAACUUCUUUUGGGCGGGAGCAAGAAUGGUCACGUGUGGCCAGACGAGAGUACCGUACGAAUAAGCAGCGGCUAACUCCGGGCCAGCAGCCGCGGUAAUACGGGGGAUGCAAGCGUUAUCCGGAUUUCUUGGGGUUAAAGGGUGCGUAGGCUGGGAGGUACGGCAGCGGUGAAAUGCCCCCGCUCAACGGGGGGAAGUGCCAUUGAUACUGCCUUGCUGGACUGCGGAUGCCGUGGGAGGAAUGUGUGGUGUAGCGG